rnacentral:rRNA from 1 species
GACGAACGCUGGCGGCGUGCUUAACACAUGCAAGUCGAACGGAAAGGCCCUGCUUUUGUGGGGUGCUCGAGUGGCGAACGGGUGAGUAACACGUGAGUAACCUGCCCUUGACUUUGGGAUAACUUCAGGAAACUGGGGCUAAUACCGGAUAGGAGCUCCUGCUGCAUGGUGGGGGUUGGAAAGUUUCGGCGGUUGGGGAUGGACUCGCGGCUUAUCAGCUUGUUGGUGGGGUAGUGGCUUACCAAGGCUUUGACGGGUAGCCGGCCUGAGAGGGUGACCGGCCACAUUGGGACUGAGAUACGGCCCAGACUCCUACGGGAGGCAGCAGUGGGGAAUAUUGCACAAUGGGCGGAAGCCUGAUGCAGCAACGCCGCGUGCGGGAUGACGGCCUUCGGGUUGUAAACCGCUUUCGCCUGUGACGAAGCGUGAGUGACGGUAAUGGGUAAAGAAGCACCGGCUAACUACGUGCCAGCAGCCGCGGUGAUACGUAGGGUGCGAGCGUUGUCCAGAUUUAUUGGGCGUAAAGGGCUCGUAGGUGGUUGAUCGCGUCGGAAGUGUAAUCUUGGGGCUUAACCCUGAGCGUGCUUUCGAUACGGGUUGACUUGAGGAAGGUAGGGGAGAAUGGAAUUCCUGGUGGAGCGGUGGAAUGCGCAGAUAUCAGGAGGAACACCAGUGGCGAAGGCGGUUCUCUGGGCCUUUCCUGACGCUGAGGAGCGAAAGCGUGGGGAGCGAACAGGCUUAGAUACCCUGGUAGUCCACGCUGUAAACGGUGGGUACUAGGUGUGGGGUCCAUUCCACGGGUUCCGUGCCGUAGCUAACGCUUUAAGUACCCCGCCUGGGGAGUACGGCCGCAAGGCUAAAACUCAAAGGAAUUGACGGGGCCCCGCACAAGCGGCGGAGCAUGCGGAUUAAUUCGAUGCAACGCGUAGAACCUUACCUGGGUUUGACAUGGAUCGGGAGUGCUCAGAGAUGGGUGUGCCUCUUUUGGGGUCGGUUCACAGGUGGUGCAUGGCUGUCGUCAGCUCGUGUCGUGAGAUGUUGGGUUAAGUCCCGCAACGAGCGCAACCCUUGUUCACUGUUGCCAGCACGUUAUGGUGGGGACUCAGUGGAGACCGCCGGGGUCAACUCGGAGGAAGGUGGGGAUGACGUCAAGUCAUCAUGCCCCUUAUGUCCAGGGCUUCACGCAUGCUACAAUGGCUGGUACAGAGAGUGGCGAGCCUGUGAGGGUGAGCGAAUCUCGGAAAGCCGGUCUCAGUUCGGAUUGGGGUCUGCAACUCGACCUCAUGAAGUCGGAGUCGCUAGUAAUCGCAGAUCAGCAACGCUGCGGUGAAUACGUUCCCGGG